GCCAUUUUUUCUCUAUCUUCCGGAGCAAUGAAGAUCUGAUUAUACCCCGAGUAUCCAUCUCGAAAGCAAAAGUGGGACCUCCCGGCCAGUCUAUCUAGCAUUUAAUCAAUGAACAGCAAGGGAAAGUGGUCUUUUCGGGUGGCCUUGUUUAAUCUUCUGUAGUCCAUACAAAUUCGUCAUCCCGUGACUGUUCUUGUUGAUAUCAACUCAUUGUUAUCGUUUUGCACUACAGUCAUCCCACCUUUCUUUGGCACACAUUGGACUGGGCUGAUCCAGUUGCUAUCGGAGAUGGAAAAAAUGAUCCCCGCAUCUAACCACUUUAUCACCUCCUUUUUCACAACUUCCUUCAUGUUGGGGUUCGGCCUUCUUUGAUGUUCUCUGGAAGGUUUGUGGCCAUCUUCCAGUAGAAUAUUAUGCAUACAGAAGGCCGGGUUGAUACCCUUAAUGUCUGCAAUGGUCCAACUAAUUGCAGUUUUGCACUCAAUCAAUACCUGCAAAAGCUAAUCUUUCUGCACAUCUAACAAACUCGAUGAGAUAAUAACAGGUAAAGUUAAGUUAGGUCCCAAGAAAGCAUACAUGAGAUGGGGUGGUAGUGGUUUUAGUUCCAACUUUGGUGGCUCUUCUCUCGAUGGCUUAGCUAGAGGAGUUUUCCUUUCUUCUAAGUGCAAAGGCUCAAAUUCGAGCUCUCUUUUCCAAAACCCUUGGCCUUCAAGAGCCAGUACCCACUCCACCAAGAUCUCUCCAUUUGCUUCAUCUAAGUUCAUGAGACAGGUUGCUAGAGGGUCUUUAGCGUCCAAGGUCUCAUCUUCCUCCUACAAAAUUACAUCCACACUCUCUAUUAGAGAGCAGUUAGCAAAUUCACUUGGUCACCGCAUAGAUUUCUGCAUAUUGAAUGUUAUCUCUUCAUCAUUUAGUCUCAUUUUUAGCUCUCCAGUUUCACAAUCAAUUAAAUCUCUCCCAGUGGCCAAGAAUGGUCUUCCCAAAAUUAUGGGAAUCUCCUCGUCAACCCGGCAGUCCAGAAUGACAAAAUCUGUUGGGAACACAAACUUCCCAACCUGUAUUAAUAUAUCAUCAAGGAUACCUGAUGGCCUCUUCAGUGUCCGGUCGGCUAGCUGUAGUAGCAUGGAUGUGGGUCUUGCUCUUCCAAUGCCUAAACUUUUAUAGAUAGACAAGGGCAUCAAGUUUAUGCUUGCCCCCAAAUAGCACAAUGCUUUAGCAAAAGCAUAGCUGCCUAUCGUGCAUGGGAUUGUGAAACUCCCUGGGUCUAACAACUUCUCAGCUAUGGGUCUCGUCACGACUGCGCUAUAGGUCUGGGUCAAUGUAACAAUGGACAGGUCUUGGAAGUUGAAUUUGCGAGACAUUGAAUCUUUCAUCAUUUUGGCAUACCCAUGCAUCUCCCACAAAGCGUCAAUCAGUGGAAUGUUCACUUGGAUUUGUUUCAAUAUCUCCAUAAAUUUCUUAUACUGCCCAUCCUUCUGAUAUUUGGCCAAUCUCUGUGGGAAUGGUUCUGCAGGUCGCAUCCGUCCUGUGAUUUGAGUUUUAUCUUGCUCAGGAACUGCUUCUACUGUUGUUUCUUGUGCUACCUCAGUCUCAUUCGCAACCUCUUUUUCUUUGCUUGUGCUCUCUUGUGCAUAUUGUACCGUCACCUCAGUUAACCCUGUUGAAUUAUCUAUCUCAAUUGGUACUGGCACAAGUGUUUCCGUAGGUCGGCUUUCGCGAGCAAUUUCUUGCUCCAGAUCUAGGUCUCUACCAUUUCUUAGACUCACUGCCAUAAGCAGUUUUGGGCCCUGCUCUUUUGGAUUGACUUGUGUAUUUGCAGGUAACAUCCCUUGGGGACGAUUAUUUAGAGCCAUCAAAGUCUGUCCUAAUUGAAUCUCAAUGCCCUUUUAUCGUUGAUUCAUGUGAGUCCACUCUCUCUUGCAUUUUUCCAUUAGACCCAAUCAGUUGUCGCAGCUUUCCUUUAAGUUUAACAAACCCAUCAUCUUGUCUCACUAUCUGUUGUUGUUGAGGCUGUGAUACGCUAGCUGCUGAUUUUGCUGGUUGUAACCCUGUUGCCGUUGGUAAGGCACAACUUGACCCUGUGGUCGCAUAGCUCCAAGAUUGUUGCUGUUAUUGUACUGUUGUUGUGCUGGCCUAUAUUGUUGAUUCUGCUGCCCCCAAUUCUGACCACCUUGCCUCUGUCCCCCAUAGUUGGCCACAUAGUUCAUAUCUUCCUGAUAGUGCUGGUUGUCACCUUCCGCACUCCACGAACAUACAUAUGGUUGGUUAAUGCAUGGUAUACAUAAGCCCCCGUUAGUUGUGUCAACUAUGUGUACCUGCUGCUUCUGGACUGAUUCAUCGAUCUUUUUUGGUGAUGAUACUCAUCUGCGUCAUUAGAGUGGCCAUAUUUUCAGCUAUGGAGUUGUUUGGGUCCAAAGCCACUGAAUGCACUAUAGGAGUGAUCUUAGAGUCUCUUGUCAUCCAUCCUGAGUUUUGGCCCAUUUUUUCAAGUAGGAUCUUGCAUUCUCUGAAUGUUUUGCUAAAAAAUGCUCCAUCUGUUGAAGCAUCAACAUUGGCCUUUAAGCCGUCUUCCAGUCCCAUGUAAACCCUCUGCCCCAACAUCUGAUCUGGAAUGCCAUUAUGUGAACAUUUAACCAGCAUACCCUUGAACCUCUCCCACAUUUCUUGUAGUGUUUCUGUUGGUCUCUGCCUGAAGCUCAAUAUAUCAUCAAUUUAUUUGGCAGUCUUAUUGGGUGGGUAGAACUUGUUCAAAAAUUGCUUGACUAAUUCCUCCCAAGUAGUGAUGGAGCUUAUGGGGAGUGAAUUAAGCCAAGUCUGAGCUUCUUCUGUCACCAAGAAUGGAAACAAUAACAGCUUUAUUGCUUCCGGUGUCACAUUAGGUUUCCUUUGUAUGAUACAUAUCGACAGGAAAUUCUUCAGAUGCUACUGAGGAUCUUCAAUGUAUGACCCUGAGAACAGUCCCUUGUUCUGCAACAAAUGUAGCAUGUUAUUUGUGAUUUGAAAUGACUCUGCUUGUAUAUGAGGGACUGCAAUUGCAGUUGCCAGAUAUUCAGCGGUGGGUUGUGCCUAGUCAUACAAUGCUUCUUCUGGCACAAGAGGCACCACACCCUGAUUGUUCAGGUCAUUCUCAGUGUUUCUGUUGUUUGGAUUUUCUACUCCGUCAUCCAUGUCUUGUUCGAUUUGUUCUGUUAAGUUUUGUUCUUGUUUGCCAUUCUUGUUUGCAUGAUUCAAUGCCUUGAAAACUUUCUCAGGAUCUGAUUAUGCUUCGAAUAAUUCACCAGUUCUUGAGGAGUUUCUAGGCAUGCACAUGUAGCACCCAAGACUACAAACGUUAGAAUUUCAAUGUAUUUGGUUUAAAAUGAAGAAAAUUGACUACACUAAGAAUUCUAGCAAUUCUUUUAGCUGCAAUUAAUAACACCGUUAGCUCCCCGACAACGGCGCCAAAAUUUGAUCACGCCCAACUAUGCCUUGUAAAAAGGACUUAGCGGUCGUUGCAAAUAUAUUCCGGUUAAUAAGUCCGGAGUCGAAUCCCACAGGGAAUUAACCUAUUAACCACAUCUACUAGACCCGCACCAAUUCACACAAUCAAUCUUCAGAAAUAUUUAAGUAACAAAUUUGAUGUUUACUAACUAAAUAUCACGUAAUGAAAAUGCAAUAAUUAAUAACUAACUAAGAACGGGUUGUAGACAAGAAUUGGGAUGAUCUAAGGUUAUGAUUUCCCCUACUGUCGGAAUCCUUUCCGAUACAUUUUCUAUGAAUUUUCCUAAGUUUUCUCUAACGAUCAUGAAUGCUCUGAGUGUUGUAAUUCUCUCCCUAGUAACAACCAUAAUUUACUAGAUAUAUUCUCCCGAAUUACGCUAGCUGGCCUUAAGUAUGGCUCACUCAGAUCGCACCAAGGUUUCGUUAUCCCUAAUCCCACCUUUAAACCAUUCGUAUUGAUCCCUCAUAUACAUUAGGAGUGAUGUUGUUCAAAAAUUACCUAAAUAUGCACUCUCUCCCUAGUAAUACAUACUAAAUAGGCACAGUCGAUUGAGGGCCCUUCAAUCAACAACAAUAAUAAUAUAGUUGAACAAAUAAAGAAAAUACAACGGCAAAUCUAUAUUAACGUAACAGGAAAAUCAUCCUCCAAUAGGUUUCAUCAAAACCCUAGAUUAGGAAUUUAGCUACUCAUACUCAUAGUAACAAUAUCCCAAAUGUUUUGCAUAAUUAAAUUACAAAGUGAAGAUGAAAGGAUGUAGAAAGCAAUGAUUCUAACUCCCAAUGACUGUGUCACGAGCUAUCCUUGCCUCUGGUUGUAAAAACUUCUUCAAAAGUGGUGUUUUAUGUCUAUUUAUAUGUGUAGGAAAAGAGCUAAGCGACAUAGGCCAAGUCCUAGUCAAACCAAGAGACGAAAUAAGCCUUCAAAGUUCGGAGUGUGCGCGCCUCAGACCUCGCCUCGCAAGGCUUCACGCGAGCAGGACCUCGCGCCAGACCUGGCGUCGCCAGCCUUAACGCGAGGUGGACCUCGCCUCCUGCCUCGCCUAGCAUGCUCCCACGCGAGUUAUUAAGCUUGCUUCGCCAACUUUCUCAUUUAUCCGCUGCUCACUUCUUUCUUUCUUCUUUUCAACUGUUUUCGAGCACGCUUUAGACUUUAAUUAUUCCUUUUGCUUUACUUUCAUCUCCAAUUUACCUACAUAUAAAAUAGACUUCAUUACGCGCAAAUAAAGUGUAGUUUAUCAUUAAAGCAUACAAAAUACAAGGCAAAUAAUGUACUAAAAUAUAGAAUUAUAGCCACACAUCAACGUGCAGCAAUAACUUCAAAUAGUGGGAGUCAACAAUGAAAAAGAUAACAUGACCAAUAACUUCAAGUAAUGGUAAUCAACAAUGAAAGAGGCAGCAUGAACAAUAACUUCAGUUAAUGAUAAUUAACAAUGAAGAGAUAUCAUAUAAUAAUNNNNNNNNNNNNUAGAACAAGUAUUAACGAAAUCAUUUAAGGCAUGUAAAGAUAGACUAACACAAGUAAGAAUAGAUUGACUAAGAGAAUUAGAACAUGAUACGACAUUUAACUAAAGCAUAAAAAUAGUCUAAGUAGCCUAAGCCGGUCAAAUACCACGUACAACCCGUGUACCCACUCGUCACCUUGCGUACACGGAUUUCAUUUAGUAAAAUUGAAUCAAACCAUACCAAUCCUAAGGAAUAGUUCCCCCACACGAAGUUAGGCAAGACACUUAUCUCAACUAGGCCAAUUCAACACUCGAAAAUAUCUUUUCCAUUAAAACCCGCCUCCACACGGCUCAAAUCUAACCAAAAUCAAUCUAAUAUCAUCAAAACAAUGCUAGGGAAUUUAAUUGCAAUAGAUAAAGCUAAAGUCUUUACACUUUUCCCAAAAAGUCAACAAAAGUCAACUCGGGACUUGCACGGUCAAACCUCGGGUCCAAUGGUAGAUUCCGUCUACCCAUGGCCCCACGAGUUAAUAUAUGUUAUUAGUUUCAAAAUCCGAGUCCAAAUCGACUCUCAAAUCUCAAUUUCUUAUUUUUCAAAAACUUCACAAAGUUUCACUAAUUUUCACUUUGAUUCACAUGAUUUUGAUGUUACAAUAUUAGAUAUGUUGAUUGAAUAUGAUUAGAAAUGGAUUAGAACCACUUACUCAAGGUUUGUAGGUGAAAAUCCCCUCUCCAAAUCGCCUCCUACCGAGUCUAUGGUUCAAAAAUGAGAGAAUGGGUUCAAAAAUCCCGUCUCUCAGCCCUUUAACCAGAUGCAGAUGUCGCAUUUGCGACACAGGAUUCAUAUUUGUGAACACUCGCAAUUGCGGACCAGGACUCGCAUUUGCGAACACUGACAACCUUAGUCAACAUCGCAAUUGCGAUGAUAGCUUCACAAUUGCGAACUGGUGGGCAUCGCAAAAGCGAACAAUUGUUCGCAAAUGCAAACCUAGGUGAAGUUUGACAGUCUUGACAAUUGCGACAUUAGAUCCCCCAUUGUCGCCUUCGCAAUUGCGAUGUUGGUGCUCUCAAUUGCGAUACCUGAGCACCAGCAACACUAACAGUCCAAUUUCAGUCCAAAACCAUUCUGAAACAUGUCCGGAACUCAUCCGAGCACUCGGGGCUCCAAACCAAACAUCCACACAAGUCUAAAAAUACCAUACAAACUCGCUUGCACGAUCAAAACACAAAAAUAAUAUCUAAAACUAUGAAUUGAACUAAAAAACGCAUGAAAUACAAGGAAAUUUUCACGAACUUCUAGAAUUAAAACUAAACGUCUGAAUCCUAUCAAAUUAACUCCAAAUGACACCAAAUUUUGCUGACAAGUUAUAAAUACCAUAACGGACCUAUUCCAAGUUCCAAAAUCAAAUUCUGAGCUAGAUAGCUAAAAGUCAACCUACAGUCAAACUUUUCAACUUCAAAUUUUCAAAUUUCAGCCAAUCAACACAAAUUAACCUAUGGACUUCCAAAAUCAAUUCUGAGCAUACACUCAGUUCCAGGGUCAUUUUCACAAAAGUCAAAGUUUGGUAAACAUUUUCUAAUUUGAACUUCUAAGUCAAGGAUCAAGGGUCCAAAUUAAUCCAAAAGCUUCCCGGAAUAAAACGAACCAACCCCGCAAGUCAUAAAAUCAUAAAAACACAUGCGUGAUGCAAUAAAUAGGGUAAUAGGGCACAAUUAAACAAAACGACCGAUCGGGUCAUUACAGGCGAACACCUCUACUUUGCCACCUCUCCAAGUUCAUUUAUUAAAUGGGGAAUGGACAUCAUGGGACUACUUCCGCAAGGACGAGGUAACAUAAAAUUCCUUUUAGUUUUAACUGACUAAUUCUCUAAGUGGGUAGAAGCAGGGGCAUUCUCCCAAGUUCGUGAGCAAGAGGUAAUCGCCUUCAUAUGAAAAAAUAUCAUAUGUAGAUUUGGCCUACCUAAAGAGAUAAGUUGUGACAACGGUCCCAGUUCACGGGGAGGAAAACCAUCAAGUUCUUCGAGAAGUGUCACAUUAAAAGGAUACUUUCAACUCCUUACCACCCGACAGGCAACGGACAGGCAGAAGCCUCCAACAAAUCUAUCUUAAGCAUCAUGAAGAAGAAGCUCGAAGAGGCCAAGGGACUAUGGCCUAAAAUACUCCCAGAAGUAUUAUGGGCGCAUAGAAAAACCCCGAAGACAAGCAUAGGGGAGACGCCUUAUUCUCUAGUCUACAGAACGGAAGCAGUUAUACCAGUCAAAUUCGGAGAACUCAGCCUGAGGUACUCCCAUGAAAGCGACACUGACAAUGAUGAGAAUACGAGACAAGACCUCGAUGAGGUCGAAGAGCGAUGAGACAUGGCAUAAAUAAGGAUGGUCACACAGAAACAACAAGCAGAAUGCUACUACAACAAAAAGGCAAAGGUUCGAUUGCUCAAGAUCGAGGACUACGUGCUCAAAGCCAAGAUCCAAGAAAACAGGGAGCCACGAGAAGGCAAGUUGGAAACCAACUGGGACGGACCACACAAAAUCAUAGGCAAAGUAGACAAGCGUUCGUUCCAAUUGGAAACUAUGGAAGGGAAGCUCUAUCAAACAAUUGGAAUAUCAACCAUCUCAAGUACUUUAACAUUUGAAAAACAAAAAUGCCCUAUAAGUCGUACUCUUUUUUCCCUCACUUGAGUUUUUUACCAAUAGGGCUUUUUUAAGGAGGUUUUUAAUGAGGCGACGAGAAGGACACUUCGAGUUGGCAUACACGAGAGCAGAUAUAUUUUUCAUUGCCCGACUCCUCAAGAGUUUCCAAGUCGAAUAAUGAAGGGACUAGAUAUACUGAGACUGGGACUGGAAUGCCAGCCAACUCCCAAAACUUAUAAUUUUCUCCAAAAGUUGCCUAAGGGUGAAAUGAUGUAAUUGAAACAACUAUGUUGAAAUAAUAAAAAUGCAUGCCUGAUCUAAACUGCUCUCCAAAACGGUACGUUCGAUCAACUUGAACAACACUUAUCAGCCCACGGCCACAACCUAGUAAAAGGUAAGUUCGACUAGUUCGAACAACUCCUAUUGGCCCACGGCCACGACUUAAUCAAAUGUACGUUCGACGAGUUCGAACAACACCUAUUGGGCUUGGCCAUAACUUAAUCAAAGGUACAUUCGACCACUUCGAACAACACCGAUCGGCCCUCGGCCAGGACUUAAUCAAAGGUACGCUUGACCAGUUCGAACAACACCUAUCGGCCCUUGGUCAUGACUCAAUCAAAGGUACAUUCGACCAAUUCGAACAAUACCUAUCGGCCCUCGGCCACAAUUCGAUGAAAGAAAAAUUUCUACCUAACUCAACGAUAUGUUCAUCCCAUUCGAACAACACAUAUCGGACCUCGGCCUAAACUCGAGUAGAAGGUAAUAAUGAAGAAAAUACAGGAACAUAACACAAGUACAAAAACAAUGCACAAAGACAAAAAGGUAUAAAACUAAAACAAAUUAUUGUAUUUCAUAAGAAGAUUUUACAAAGUCGUUCAAAGACGCCAACAAAAGAUACAAUACAAAAGUUGAGCAAAAAAUGUUAACACUCAAGGUAGUCACCACCCCGAUCUCCACCAUCCUCUCCUUAUCCGCCUCGACCAUAAGUGGAGUCCUACUAAGCAUUAUCUGCAAGAUGGUCCAUACCCCCUUCAUCAUCUUCCUCGAAAUCGGGUUGAGGCGUGGCAGGAUCAUAAUCAUAGUCAAGUCGGGCCUCGCGAGCUUUAACUCGAGCCUCCUCGAGGGCUGUCUCAGAGAUAGAGCCGGUCUUGUUCAAUUCACGGAUCACGUCCAAUCGGGCUUCAGCGUGGAUCCAGUUCUCGUACCUAUCUCGGGAAAUGUCAGGAAACUUAGAGGCGUGAGACACAGAGGGCCACUCGAGCAAUCGGGCAUUUUUGGCCUCAAGAACUGCAACUCGCUCUAGAAGCUUGGAGUUCUCCUUACCAACUCUCCAAUCCUCUCCUCGAGCCUGGUUUCCUUAGCCAUGGCCGCCCAAAGAAUGUUAUUUUGUCCAGAAUAGAGAGUUCUAUUCGCCAAUUCCAAAAUAUCAGCCCCCCUACGAGCCUCCGUUCGGGAGGACUCCACCUCCUCAAGCAUUCACUUCUUCUCAGCAACUUCCCUCCUAAGAGAGUUGAUCUGGAGUUGGUAUCCAUCCAACUGACUUUACAGUUGAACUACUUGACUUUGGAGGUCACUACACUGGGCCUCCACUCCUUUGCUCAUUUUAAGAUCCUCUUCCUUCCUCCUCAACGCCCCCUCGAGAAUGUUGAACCUCUCUACGGCCACCAUCAACUCCUCAUCUUUCUUCUUCAACUCCUCCCUCAAGGCCGGUAUGCCGCCCUCCCCGCAAAGCCAUCUUUGAGCGUCCUGGUACUUCCUGCAGAACUCCUGGUAUUUACCCUUCAGCUCUGUUAAAUCUCUUUCCAUUUCAUCUCCCUCCAUAUGCUUUCAAUUUCUAGAAUGAUAGUAUGCAAAUCAAAGGGGAAAAAAAUUCAAAGCUUAGAAGAGAGUCAAAAUAAAAGAAAAAGAACAAGGGACGACUACACUUACCCUGAGACGAGGCCGACAAUGCUCUUCGAUAGGGUGUCAUCGUCAGUUCUUUGAGGGUCACUUGUUCGGCUUCGGAGCAAAGAGGACCAAGAGCGUUGACCACGUCCUUGGUAAUUUUCAGCAGAUCACGAUCCAUGAGAAUCGUGAUAGUUCUUUAAUCCCCCUCCAUCCUUACCUUGAUCUGAGUAUUCCCCUCGUCGAUCAUCUUAAUCCUCGGGGUCCAUGUCAAAAUCCGAUUCAUCGCUCUCUUCGACGGCACCCUUGCCUUUGUCCCCAUCAGCAGGGGAAGCAUCCCUUGCCUACCUAGAAGAAGAGGCUUCCUCUUGCCCUAAAGGCGCAGAGCUAUCACCGAAUGCCCCCUUCGCAACCUUCUCAUCCUCGGGCACGAAAGCAUACUCACAUUGGUCUCUUCUAACUGAGGUCUCCCAUACCUUGUACUCAUCCUCUAAUGAGUCGACGGCCGAGGGAAAACCACCUCCUACGUCCAUAGCCUUCCUUUUGCGGGGCCUCGGGUCCGUGUCAUGUGGAGAGACCUCAUCAUCCUCGACAGGGAGGAGCGAGCGCAGCAACCGAGACGGGGGAAGAAGCAGAAGGCGUAGCAACCCUUCUCCUCCUGAAUGAGGGCACAUACACCCUAUUCCUUCUUGCAGCCCCCCUGACGGAACCCAGAAGAAGCAAAAAAAUGGUAUAUGCAAAAACGAGCACUAUGCCGACUAGAAGAAGGAAAUUACCUGUCGAGGAGAGGGCCAUUUUGAACCUUUGAAAGAAGCUCGGCCAAUCACGAAUCCCCACAGUAUAGGGGAUAACUUGUUUGAUCCAAUCGGCGAGGUACGUCACCAACUGAAGAGGUCGACCAGUGGCUGCAGAAAAAAAAAGAGGGUUAUUUGACAAGCUCGGAAUGAACAAGAAUUUGAAAAGGUAAAAAUAAAAGCACGAGUACUUAUGGGUGUGGUUCCAGGCCUCAGGAAAUCUUGUAGCAUCGGCCAUGACGGCCUCAGUCUUGAUAAAGAAAUAGUCGAGCCAGAAUUGCCGACUACCUUUAUCAUUCAUCUUCACUACCAAAUAUUUGCCCCUACGAUGUCGAAGGUUAAACAUUGUUCCUUGGUAAAAGUUGGGCGCGAACAUAUGCACCAAGUGUCACACCGUGACCUCGACCCUGGCCAGUUCGGCAAACUUCGAUAGCAUUUUAAUCACUUUGUACACGUAGGAGGCGAGCUGAGCAGGGUAAACAUUAUAAUGGCGGUAAACUCCUCCACCAGCGGGUGGAGGGGGAACGAAUAGCCAAUGGCGAAUGAGUAGGCAUAAAGAGCACAGUACCUAGGACUGUAGACGUGUACUUCGUCGUUAUUAGCAGGAUUUUUUCUCAUAUCUUUAUCUAUCUUUUCUCCCCCGAUCUAAGGAGGAUCCGAAUAUUCAAAGGCUUAUAAUUAUCUAUCCUUUUCAGAAGGAUUAUACAAUAUUCUCACCUUUUUUGGGUGACCUCCGUCCAUUUAUUUACUUAAAUGUCAUUUAUUAUUAUUAACUGUUCCCUUCCAUAUUCUUGAAUCAUUUACUAUAUCAUUAUUGUCGUCAUUUAUUGCCACUCAAUAGCAUACGUGGGAUCUUACUACAAAAAUAUUUGGUCUAUCUUUUGGACAUUAAUGUUGGCUAAGAUUAACCCUACUUUAUUAUAAAAUUUGAUUGUAUCAACCUAUAUCUAAAUUUUGGGUCAUACAGUUUGAAAUUUAGUAUUACAAUAAGAUAUAAGGACAUAAUUGUCAGUUUGACUUGCAAGAAAAACAUUUAUCUUUAUUUCUCUUUGGUUUUUCAUACGUUAAUCGGUAUCUGUAUUGGGGUUCGAUGAAAUUCGGACUCGCACCGAAAAGUCUUGUAUUUGGGGUAAAGUACUCCCUAACAAAGAUGACUGCAUACCCAAAGCUCGCACCCAAAACUUCCUAUUAAGGAUGAAGGAGUAAUUACAAAUCCAUUACUAAACAUUCAUCAAUCGGACUCUGGGAAGGUCCCAUUAAGAUUGUUGUUUUGUACCUCUGAAUGGAAAUGUUCAGUUCAGACACUUACUUACCUCAAGCACAAAUUAGUAUUCUCCACUAAUUGAGAAAUUAAUUGUCUGCUGCUUCUCCUCAAGUACCUCAACUUACUUACCUCAAGUACAAAUUACUACAACUCCACUUUAGAAGAAUGUAAGGACAAUUUGUCUGUUGCUUCUGUUCAUGGGAUCAACACUUGAAAGAUUGUCUUGGUUGGACUUUUCCGGGGGGGGGGGGGGGGGACCAAAUAAAAGUUUCAACAACCACGUACAGGUGAUGAUUCGUUGCUACACUUGAUCUCUUCGAUUAGAAAAUUGAAGAUUAAUGCCGGUAUUAACAUAAACAAUUAUAUGACAUAAUCUUUUGUACUUCAAGAAAAGAUAGUUUCAUGCUAUGUUUCGAAUCAUGGCAUUGAAGUUGAUCAAUUGCCAUAGAAGUGCUUAUCAUUUGGUUGACUUUUCUUAAGGGGAGAAUGAAUCAUAAUUUCAACAACCAUACUUGGUUUGUCUAAUGGUACGGUAUUAUUAGUACCGUACCGGUACCGGACCGUAUUGUUCCGGUGAUUCGUAUUUAUUUUUGUUAUACUUAUAUUGCUACUUGUUGUAAAUUUAAUCAUUAAAAAUGGCUCCUAAAAUGGUUUUUAAAAAAGUGUGUAAUAGAUCUACUAAGAAUAAUGCUAGGGAGGGGGUCCUCGUUUUGAAACAAAUCUUAACUAGUUCAAUUUUAGGAGUAACAUAUAUGAAACGUAUAAUUCUGCUUUUUCAGGUUUUCCUAAAACAACUGUUAAAAAUAAUAUUUGCUACGAAGAUUUGCUGAAAUAUUUGAAGAGAAGAAACUUUGGCCUUCUAGAAAUAAUUUAAGAAGACAACGAUGCCUGUAGUGAAAUACUAUCUACCGGUGACAUGAGGGACACAGAAGAACAAGUGCUAUCAAUUUCAAGCGAAGAACCAAUAGAAAUUAUUGAAAAUCUCCGUAAAUUGAAAGAAAAAUAUUUUAUUUUAUUUUUAUAAGUAUUGAAAUAAAAGUAUUGAAUUUUUUAUCCAUUAAAGCUUGUUUAUAUUUAAAUUAAAAAAAUUUAAAAUUAUCGUUAAGUACCCAUAAAGUACCGGUACCGCACCCUUAGGACCGGUAGGGGUACUGAUAGGGUAUCCAAUUAAAUAGCCAUAACAUGCACCCUUAAAUACCGUUAAGAAAAAUACCCUUAAGGAACCCUCCCCUUACACUUACCCUCCCCGUACUCUUAACUCUUAAUGUCUCAGUACUCUCCCCUUAAACAACCAUAAAUCAUACACCAUUGAAAGGCAUCUAUGACCAUUCACACCUUUGAAAUUUAAUUAAAGUUUUUUAAAAAUCUCUCUUGUGGAAGAAUGUAUUGUUUUUUAAAUAAGAAAUUAGCCCGCAAUGUUUAGUGUCUUUUUCUUUUUGGAUCAUAUAUUGAAUCUGACGAAUUUAAAGUGCGGCAAAGGGCCAAAUAUAUCCUUGUACUAUGAGAAAAGGUUUUAAAUAUACCUUUCGUUAUAUUUUGGGUCCAAAUAUACCCCUGCCGUAAUACUAUUGGUUCAAAUAUACCCCUCUUAUAUUAAGUUUGUUCAAGGUGGAUGUCUAAUCCUACGUGGCACUGACAUUUGAUGGGGUGGAUGCCACAUGGCAUGCCACCUCAACGCCCCUAAUCCAUAUAUCACUAAAAUUUGAAAUACAAUAUUGUUUAUGGUAGCGGUAAUGGUGGCAAUAGUGAUUGGGGGAAGAAAAUUUUAGUGGUGAAAAAAAAAUAAGAAAGGUAAAAUGGGUUAGGGGCGCUGAGGUGGCAAGCCAUGUGACACUCGCCUCAUCAAAUGUCAGUGUCACAUAGGACUGGAUGUUCACUUUGGACAAACUUAACGGAAAAAGUGUAUAUUUGAACCAAUAAUAUAACGAUAUGGUUAUAUUUGAACUCAAAGUAUAACAAAAAGGGUAUAUUUAGACUCAAAAUAUAACGAGGGAUACCUUUAAACCUUUUCUGAUAGUAUAAGGGUAUAUUUGGCUCUUCUCCGUUUAAAGUAUCUUUUAAGUUGUCCCUUAAACAAUCUUUGUUCCGACAUUAUCCGUUGAUUGUUGUGAUCGCCUUUUCCUCAACUAAUGUUUGGUUUUAAAAACUUCUGAAAUUAUGUUGAUUUCUUAACCAAUAUGUAUUUAGAUAGAAAUGAGGUAAGAUAAGGGCAUUUCAAUAUAGCUUUGGAAAAUCUACAAUUAAUGGAGAUAAACUAAUUUUAUCCAAAGACCAACCCUGAAACUCAUUCUUCCAUAUCUAAGCACAUAUCAAACACACAAAUAUCAUGCGAUUAAAAAGAGAAUAAAUAAAAAUUGCCAAACACCUUGAUCUUACCAAAAUAAAAUUUCACGGAGGAAUACUAAAUUUUUCUAAACUAUGCUAGCUAACACUAUCUUAUCAGGUACAUUGACUAUAUUAAAGAUUUAUUAUUUUUAAACCCACAUUUAAAUCUACCGUAUUAAUUCCUCACUACGUCAGAAGCAGUGGCGGACCCAAGUGGUUGCUAGCGGGUUCAACUGAACCCGCUUCACAAAAAAAUAAUAUUGUGUAUAUGUAUAAAUUAGGAUUAAAGUUGUAUAAAUUUUACAUAAAUAUUUUAUUUGAACCCACUUGACAACUACUAUUUUACUACUAAAUUUAUAUACUUUUAAGAUUGAACCCGCUUGCACAAAAUAUUGGGUCCGCCACUGGUCAGAAGGAACAUUGAUCAACAACCACCUAAAUAAGUACCCUUUCCCAAGCAAUACAUAAUAAAUAGGCACAAUCAAUUGUGAACUCUUCAAUUAAUUAAAACAAGCACAUAGUUAAACAAGCAAAGAAAUCCAAAGGAUAAAUUAUAUUAAAACGUAACAAUAAUUCAUCCUGCAAAAGGUUUCAUCAAAAUCCUAGAUAAGAAAUUAGCUACUCAUAAUAAUAUGUAAAACUACAAUACCAAAAUCUAUAACCACCAAUAAAGAAUAGGAAAAAGAAAGUGAAAAACUCUGUAAAAAAUUAUCCGUCUUGUUCCUUGUGUGAUCUUGCCUUCAUAAGUAUUGUCUCCCCCUAAAGUAGUAUCUCCCCCUAAAGUAGUGUCUCCCUCAAAAAGACAUUUUAGAAUGUAUUUCUAUCAAUUAGGGUUUGUAUAUGGCAGAUCGAAUCAAAUCAUUCCGACCAUAGACGCGAACUCGCUUUUAAAUUUUUUUCAUUUCGCAAAGCAAUUCGUGCAUUUGCUUCACUUUACUAUUUUGUGCACUCAAUUGUCUCCUUUUUCGCAUCCGUUUUCAUGCUAUGCGCGAGAAUGGACGAGCUCCCAAUUCUUCCAUCUUUUCCUUUUGCAGUAAAUUCACAUCUUUUGAUAACUUAUCAUUAAAACUUAUUCUUACAUACAAGAAACAUAUAAUAAGCAUAUAUUAUUUCAAAAAUCAUGUAAUCUCAUACGACACAUGCGACAAAUAAAAUAAAAACACACUAAAAAAUAUGCACUUCUAAUUAUUUAUCAUCCAACUAUAUGUAGCAAAAAAUGAGUGAUAGCAACAAUUCCUAGCCAGUGCGUGAAAGUAUUAAUGUGAAGGCGUCAGAAUUUGAGAAGGUAGAAUACUUAAAAGGGAAAAAGGUCAAAUAUAUCCCUAUACUUUGAUAUAUUGUUCACAUCUAUCCUCUGUUAUACUAUUAAGCCACAUAUACCCUUACCGUUAGCCAAACUUUUUAAAAAUAUCCUCCACCUAACGGAAACUAUCAAAUUAAAAAAAGUCAUUUAAAAAAAAAAUACAUUAAUCCACAACCCGUUAAACCCAUCAUAUAAAAAUACGGAACCUAGUUUUCUGAGACGUCUCAACACAUUAUUCAUUUUGAGAGAGUGUGAGAAUGAUGGUGGCGGUAAGAUUAGUAAAAACUUAUAUUUUGGUUCUUAGUUGUUCAUGGUGGCAUUAGCAUGUCAUGUUAUCACUUUCGGUUGUAUUUUUGUGUGGUUAUAAUAUGAAAUCCCUUUGUCUAAUGUAAUGCACACUUGAUAGUUGAUUUGUAUGUUGGUAACAACUGAUAUAUACUUUAACAACACUUGUGUUUGGUUAAUACAUGAAGUUAGUGUGCUUAUGUUGUUAAGGUUCUUUUCCAACUUGGUGGUGUACUUUCUUUUAUUCUUGAUGAAUUCCUUAGACUGUAGCUUGAUCUUAAAUUGAAUCUCCUCUAAUUAUUUUAAAAAUUUUGCUCAUUAUAAGUUCAGUUGUUAUUAAGAAUUAUGUGUAUCACACCCCAUAGCUUGGACUCUAACUUUGGUUCUAAAGGUGUGAUUUGGCGAUUGUUAGGAUCGAGAACCCGGGUAGUGCAAAAUUUAGCCAAACAAUGGUAUAAUGACAAUAACAAAGACAAUGCAAGUUGAUAAUAAUGGCAAUUAAAAAGAUAAAGAAGACACAAAUUUAACGUGGUUCGGUCAAGGUGACCUACGUCCACAAGCGGAGAGGAGCAAUUUUACUAUACCAACAAGAGUACAAAAGAGAAUACAAAAUUAGAGUAAAUACUCUAAUUCCCAAAUACCCCAAGAGAAUAACCUCACAAGAUCACUCUAAAGAAAGGGUUCACACAAGUAUUUCCCAACACUCAUUCUCUUACAAAAUACUCUAUAAUAAAGGAGGAGAAAGAAAGAUAAGAGUGAAAAGCUCUUGAAAUUGGUGUGUUCUCAAAUGAGGAGAAACUCCUCUAUUUAUAGCAAGAAAUCCUUGGCCUAAUAGUGGAUAUUAUGUCAUGGCAAAUGUCAUGAAAACUUGGUCCAAAAUUGUGUUAUAAUGGAUAUUAUGUCAUGGCAAAUAUCAUAAAAACUUGGUCCACAAAUUAUGUUAUAGUGAAUAUUAUGUCGUGGCAAAUAUCAUAAAAAUUUGACCCCCACUUGAAAAUAAGCCAAAUUAAUGGCCAUAUUACAAAUCUCCAUCUUGGCCUGAUUUUGGCUUAUAUAUAGUAAAUUUGCUCUACCUUCUCCGCUAAAACCCCAAUGGGCAAAAUUAUUCUUCAUAAAUGCCAAUCAGUUUCAGGCAAAGCUUGAACUUAGACACUGGAAGAGGUUUUGUGAACAUGUCAGCAGGAUUGUCUCUAGUGUUGAUCUUCUGAACAGAGACUUUUCCUUCAGAAAUGAUUUCUCAGAUGAAAUGAUACUUUAUAUCAAUGUGCUUCGUACUCUCAUAAUACAUUUGAUCUUUAGUCAAGUGAAUGGUACUUUGACUAUCAUAGAAAAUGGCAAUACCACCUUGGUGUAAACUGAGUUCUGCAAAUAGACCCUUCAACCAUAAAGCUUAUUUGAUCGCCUCGGUCACUGCCAUAUAUUCUGCUUCGGUAGUAGAUAAAGCUAUAACAUAUUGUAAUGUAACUUUCCAACUAACAGUGCAACCACCGAUGCAAAAUACAUAGCCUGUCAGUGAUCUUCUUUUGUCAAGAUCACCUGCAUAAUCUGAGUCUACAAAACCAACCAAAGUGUUAGUAUUUCUCCCAAACUCCAAACAUGUGUUUAAAGUACCUCGCAAGUAUCUGAGAAUCCAUUUCACAGCAUGCCAAUGUGAUUUACCAGGGCAAGCCAUAUACCGGCUUACCACGCUCACUGCUUGUGAAAUGUCUGGACGUGUACAAACCAUUGCAUACAUAAUACUGCCGACUGCACUGGAAUAAGGAACUUGUGCCAUGUACCUCUCUUCUUCCUCUGACUGCGGGAACUGAGCAGCUGAUAACUUAAAAUGAGCAGCAAGAGGGGUACUAACUGGUUUAGCAUCUUUCAUGCCAAACAUCUCCAAAACUUUCUCCAAGUACUUCUUUUGGGUCAGAAAUAGCCUGUUGGCUUUUCGAUCUCUUUUGAUCUCCAUGCCAAGGAUUUUCUUAGCUGCUCCCAAAUCUUUCAUCUCAAAUUCACUUUUCAGCUAACUUUUCAAAUUGUGAAUUUCUGUUAAAUCCUUAGGAGCAAUGAGCAUGUCAUCAACAUAUAAUAAUAGGUACACAAAUGAACCAUCAUUUAACUUUCGGAAGUAAACACAACUAUCAUACAUGCUCCUCGAAUAACUAUGACCCAACAUAAAGGAAUCAAACCUUUUAUAUCAUUGUCUUGGAGACUGCUUUAAUUCGUACAAGGAUUUCUUCAACAAGCAAACAUGAUAUUUUUUUCCUUCAAUUUCAAAUCCUUUGGGUUGAUUCAUGUAUAUUUGUUUCUCAAGUUCGCCAUGUAAGAAAGUUGUCUUAACAUCAAAUUGUUCUAAUUCCAAAUCAUACAUGGCAACGAAGGCAAGAAAGAUACGAAUAGAGCAAUGUUUAAUAACAGGUGAGAAAAUAUCAUUAAAAUCAACUCCUUGUACCUGACUAUAGCCCUUUGCAACUAAUCGUGCCUUAUACCUCGCAUCUUCAACCCCUGGAAUGCCAUCCUUUUUCUUGAAGACCCAUUUGCAACCAACAAUUCUUUUUUCUGAUGGUGGUUUCACAAGAGACCAAGUACCAUUCUUGUGGAGAGACUCAAUUUUUUCAUUCAUUGUAAUCAGCCACUUGGCUGAGUCAACACCAGAAACUGCUUCUGAAUAUUUUGAUGGUUCUCUAAUUUCUUCAGUUUCCUCUGCAACUAAAAAAGCAAAUGCAACAUAUUCUCCAAACCUUAAUGGUUGUUUACCUUCUCUUCUUGGUCUAUGUUUGGCUAUAGAAUACUCCUCUUCAGGAAUUUCAGCUUCUGGCUCAACUUCAGGAGUUUCAACUAUAUUUUGCUCCAAAGUUGAUGAGCUUGGCUCAGAAAGAAUGCCAAUCCCAACAUCCACCUGCUUCUGUGUACUAUUUCCUUUAUCUGUAUUACAAGAACUAGAAGACUCUUUUCUAGAAUGUAACAUAGAGGAUUCAUCAAAGGUUAUAUCUCUGAUAAUUAUAAAUUUUGGUGUCGUGGGAUCAGGAUACCAUUGUCGGUAUCCUUUCACCCCAGAUGCAUACCCAAAGAAAAUGUACUUUUUAGCCCUUGGCUCUAAUUUUCCAUAAUUUACAUGCAUAUAUGCAGGGCAACUAAAUAUCUUUAAAUCAGAAUAAUUAGCAGGAGUGCAUAACCACAUUUACUCUGUAGUCUUAAAGUUCAAAGGUGAAGAAGGAGCUCGGUUGACAAUAUAACAGGUUGUAGAGAUAGCUUCUUCCCAAAAGGUGUUUGUCAACCCAGCAUUUGAAAUAAUNNNNNNNNNNNNNNNNNNNNNNNNNNNNNNNNNNNNNNNNNNNNNNNNNNNNNNNNNNNNNNNNNNNNNNNNNNNNNNNNNNNNNNNNNNNNNNNNNNNNNNNNNNNNNNNNNNNNNNNNNNNNNNNNNNNNNNNNNNNNNNNNNNNNNNNNNNNNNNNNNNNNNNNNNNNNNNNNNNNNNNNNNNNNNNNNNNNNNNNNNNNNNNNNNNNNNNNNNNNNNNNNNNNNNNNNNNNNNNNNNNNNNNNNNNNNNNNNNNNNNNNNNNNNNNNNNNNNNNNNNNNNNNNNNNNNNNNNNNNNNNNNNNNNNNNNNNNNNNNNNNNNNNNNNNNNNNNNNNNNNNNNNNNNNNNNNNNNNNNNNNNNNNNNNNNNNNNNUCAAUCAAAACUUUUCAUUAUUUGAAAUUUAAGAAAACAUCACUUUUAUUUUUUAGGAAAUAAACCCAAACUUUUCUUGAAUAAUCAUCAAUGAAAGUUAACAUAUACCUGGCACCACCUUUUGAUGGGGUAUGUGAAGGACCCCAAAGAUCUGAAUGAAUAUAAUCCAAAGUACCUUUUGUUCUAUGAAUCGCUGGAGAUUUAAAGCUGACUCUUUUCUGCUUUCCGAACACAUAAUAUUCACAGAACUCCAUAUUUCUGGUACUUUGGCCACAUAAGAGACAUCUUUUGCUGAGGAUGGAAAGACCUUUUUCACUCAUAUGCCCCAAUCGCAUAUGCCACAAUUUGGUGAUGUCAGGAUCUGAUUUAUCUGAUAUUGAAACUGUAGUAGCACCUGUAACAGUAGAUCCCAAAAGAGUAUACAACAUACCAGAUCUGCGUGCUUUCAUGAUCACAAGAGCGCCAUGAGAAAUUUUCAGAACUCCACAUUCACCUGUGUACUUGCACCUAAGAGAUUCUAGAGUGCCCAAAGAGAUGAAAUUUUUCUUCAAGUCAGGAACAUGUCUAAUAUCGGUGAGAGUUCUCACCACACCAUCGUGCAUUUUGAUUCGGACUAUACCUUUUCCAAUAACUUUGCAGGCAGCAUUGUUGCCCAUCAAGACAACUCUACCUCCAAUAGAUUCAUAUGUGGUAAAUAAAUCCCUAUUGGGACACGUAUGAUAAGAAUAAGCCGAAUCUAAAAUCCACUCAUUGUUAGAUUUGAAACUAUUAUUAGUUGCUAAAAAAAUAGUUUUCUCAGUCUCAUCAGCAGCUACACUUGCUUCGGCAGUGUCAAUAUUUUUGUGCUCAUUUUUCUUUUAUGUAUGUUUUUCUUUGUUUUUCAAUUUAAAGCAUUCAGAAAUAAUGUGACCUUUCUUAUGACAAUAUUUGCACAUGACAUUUCUGUAUCUGAAUUUUGACCUUGAUUUAGGUUUUUCACUACUUGAAUCUUUCUUAUUGGAUCUACCUCUUAUGAAUAAGCCUUCCCCUUGGUUCCCACUAGUUUUCCUCAGUAAUAUCUCUAUUUAUUUAUUCUUUUGAUUUCAAAAUAGAUUUGAUAUCUUUAUAAGAGAUAUUAUCCUUUCCAUAAAGCAUAGUAUCUCUUAUGAAUAAGCCUUCCCAUUGGUUCCCACUAGUUUUUCCUAGUAAUAUCUCUAUUUAUUUGUUCUUUUGAUUUCAAAAUAGAUUUGAUAUCUUUAUUAGAGAUAUUAUCCUUUCCAUAAAGUAUAGUAUCUCUUAUAUAUUUAAACGACUAGGUAAGGAAACAAGUAAUAACACAACUUGAUCCUUCUACUGUUCUUUUCAUAUAUAAGGUUUUAAGCUUUCCCCAUAUGCCUUUGGCUGAACUUUCUACUGCAACUUCACGAAAAACCUCAUUUUAAAGAUUUAAAAUAAUAUUUGCUUUUACCUUUUUGUCUAUGACGGCAAACUCCUCAUCCGUCAUUUUAUCUGGCAUCUUCUCCUUUCCUUGCAGUGCCAAAUCUAAGUCAUCCUGAACUAGGAUAGCUUCCAUCUUUAAUUGCCACAUUCUGAAGUUUGCACUUCGGUCAAAUUUCUCAACAUAAGACUUUGUUAGAGUUAUUUUGGCUAUUUAAACUAACCCGGUUAGGAUCGAGAACCCGGAUAGUGCAGAAUUUAGCCAAACAACGUAUAAUGACAAUAACAAAGAUAAUGCAAGUUGAUAAUAACGACAAUUAAAGAAGAUAAAGAAGACACAAAUUUAACAUGGUUCGGUCAAGGUGGCCUACGUCCACAAGCAGAGAAGAGCAAUUUUACUAUACCAACAAGAGUAUAAAAUUAGAGUAAAUACUCUAAUUCCCAAAUACCUCAAGAGAAUAACCUCACAAGAUCACUCUAAAGAAAGGGUUCACACAAGUAUUUUACAUCGCUCACUCUCUUACAAAAUACUCUAUAAUAAAGGAGGAGAAAGAAAGACAAGAGUGAAAAGCUCUUGAAUUGGUGUGUUCUCAAAUGAGGAGAAGCUCCUCUAUUUAUAGCAAGAAAUCCUUGGCCUAAUAGUGGAUAUUAUGUCAUAAAAAAUGUCAGAAAACUUGGUCCACAAAUUGUGUUAUAAUGGAUAUUAUGUCAUGGCAAAUGUCAUAAAAACUUGGUCCACAAAUUGUGUUAUAGUGAAUAUUAUGUCAUGGCAAAUGUCAUAAAAAUUUGGCCCCCACUUGAAAAUAAGCCAAAUUAAUGGCCAUAUUACAACGAUAAUACUCGUAGCUCAAAUGCUUAAAGUAGCAUAAGAAAAUCAUAGUGCUUAAAUACUCAUCAACAAAGGCUCAUAAUUGAAGGAAGAAAUACAUCGGUAGCUGCCUUAAGACUUCAGAACUGUCGACCUAAUAAGAUACUAUAAACACUCAGGUCAUGAUGGAAAGAAAAUCAUGGUGAAUACUCGGUACAGUUCGACAUGACGAAUAAAACAAAAGAGAAAAGCUAGAAGAAGAAUUUUGUUUUUGGAAAAGGUAGAAUAUAAUAAACAUACAAUAAGGAUAUUAAAAGAAUUGUGACUAAAUAUAUAAAUGAAUAUAUGGUUGUUGGUAUUUUUAUAUUUUUCACUUCUUCAGUUCAACAAGUGACUACGAGGGAGAUGACUAAUCUUUGAGAAAAAGUGCAGCAAAUAAAAGGGGUUUAACGGGUUAUUAAUGGGUUUAAAAAAAUAAGUCUUUUUUGGUGGCUUUUUUUUAGGUGAAGGGUAUUUUUAAAAAAAUUGGCUAACGGUAAGGGUAGAUAUAGCCCAAUAGUAUAACGAAUGGUAAAUAUGAAUAAUAUACCAAAAUAAAGGGAUAUAUUUGACCAUUUUCCCUACUUAAAAUGUUAUCCAGAACAACCUUGAAUUGUUUAAGAAUCCUACAUGCAGAGACAGGCCCGCGGGUAAGGUAGGGGUCAACUACUGCUAUUAGUGUCAUUUUGGCAUUUUUCAAUUAUUUUGAUAAGUACUUAGUACAACAUUUGAAAUAGAUUUCAAUCAUUAAGGGGUCAUUUAAUAGAAUUUAUCGGGGAAAAUAAUAUAUAUAUAUAUAUAUAUAUAUAUAUAUAUAUAUAUUAGCUUUAUAUUAUUUGUAUACCGCCAAAAUUGGGAUCGCCCCCUUGCUUGACUAAUCGAGACUGGAAUAUGAUAGAUUUAGGUCCGACCUCGAGUCAUAUCAAACUGAGAUGUGAAGUUAUAUCGCCAAGCUCGAGAUCCCGGGACCGAACAAAGUCAAGAUCAGGCGAGAUCGAGGGAAACUUUCUGAUUCGGAUAACAGAAAGACGAAAUAUCCGCGAUCGAGCGUAGAUCACGGCGGAAAUCUCGACAUGUAUCAAGGAUAGGCCGAUUAAUUAGCCAAUCAGGAGAUUUCUUACUUCAUUUAGAACUGUAUCAAGAGUAAGACUCCCCUACUAUAUAAAUGGGGUAUGAUAAUUUGUAAAGGGGGCACUUUUACAAAACAUAAAGCAAUACAUUAUCUUUUACUAGCUUUUAUUAUCUUGUUACUCUGUUCUUAUAUCAAGUUGAAACUUCUCUUGGUUCAAAUGUGAUCUAACUCGAGGGCCAAGGCUAUUCGAUUCGUUUGGUUUGCAUUUAUUUCUUGUAUCGUCAAAUUCAAUAUUAAUAUAUUUUCUUAAUUUGUGCCAAGUUAUAUCACGUAUCCUUAAAACCGCGUAUAAAUUUAAUUGUUAUCUAUUUUUAGGGUAAACAGUUUGGCGCCCACAGUGGGGCUAAGGAUAAUAGUGAUUCUCUGGUACUAACUUUCGUAACACACACUUUUUUUCACUUGUUCUUGUGAGUAUUUUUUAUUCCAGGAUCAAAAUGUCGAACUCUCAGGCAACACCCGUACACGUGAACAAUGACUUCGGCCACCAUGACGAAAAUGGCAACAUAGCAUCAGGGAACAACGUACCUCCAGUUGGCCUCGAUGGAGUUUCGACUGUAGAUCCAAUCGACGUUAGCUCGCAUAUAGCCGUCAAGGAAAAUUUGAUCAUAGAUCCCGAGAGUAGCAUUUGUAGGGAUGUUCGAUCGGCCGCUCAGAGCGCACAUGGUGGCGAAGAGGGCGGAAUCAGCCUUCGAGUGAUCUUCAAGAUGUUGCAGGCUCAACAAGCUGCGAUAACCCAACUCCAAAACCACAAUCAUGCACCAAGCAGGAUCGAGCCCGAGUCGUCCCAGAAAGUUAUUCACAGGGUCAAAUCGGUGCCAAGAAAAUUGAACGGGAAUGAAUCGGGGACCGAUCCCGUAAUCAUAAAGAUGCUCGAAGAACUAAUGAAACGAGUUGAGUUGGGGGAAAAGAAGACCGAAGCAAACGAUAAGAAGGUGGAAACUUAUAACUCCAGAGUUGAUCCAAUCCCGGGGGCACCACCAAUAUUGAAGGGUUUGAAUUCCACAAAGUUCGUAAAAAAGCACUUCCCCCCAAGCGCGGCUCCCAAACCGAUCCCCAAGAUGUUCCGCAUGCCCGAGAUUCCUAAACCCAAACGAGCAUGUCACCUCUUACACAUGUGCAAUUAAAGAGAAUGAUCUAGAGGACGACGAGAUCGAAUCCGUAUUACUAAAGAAAUUCGGGGAGACCCUGUCAAAGGGAACUAUGAUAUGGUAUCAAAGGAAAUGUUUACAGGGAGCAACCCGCCUGUUACAUGCCGCAUUUUCGUAUGUUAAAGUUUUUGUAAGUUAAUCGAUGCAAGUUCGGGAAUAAAAUUAUUUCGUGAUUAUAAGCAUUAUGUUAUUUUAAACAAGUGAUGAGUAAAUUGGUGAAGGUGAGAGAGUAAUCAAAUCGAAGAAAAUAAAUUUCGUCGAAAUUUGAUAUUUUGGGAUAAAAUAUGGCCCGGGCUAAAAUACCUGGUAUUUAUGGACUAGUACCAUACAAGGUACCACAUGGCCAUGAUAGUAAGAUAUAUAAGGUAUGUGAGAAGUGGGUAGCAUUUUAAGUAAGUGGAAAUAAUUUUUAAUUAUGAGAGUAAUUGAUUAAUUAUUGGGUAAUGGGACAUUACCUAGUUAAUUAAUAAUUAGUGGUAGAUUAAUUGAAGUCUUUGGAUAAAGACUGAAGCAAAAACGUGGCAGUAACUCAAUCUAUGUUUGAUGACUCUUACAAGUUACUUGAUAAGGCUUAUGUUGGCUUAGUCAUCAACUUUGGAAGGUUUAGUCAUUGAUGCCUCAUUCAUUUUAAGGAAAAUGGAUGUAAAGUUGCAUAGUAACGUUAUGGUAUUGGCUUAGUCAUCAACCUUGGAAGGCUUAGUCAUUGAUGUCUCAUUCAUUUUAAGGAAAAUGGAUAUAAAAUUGCAAAGUAACGUUAUGGUAUUGGCUUAGUCAUCAACCUUGGAAGGCUUAGUCAUUGAUGCCUCCUUCAUUUUAAGAAAAAUGGAUAUAAAGUUGCAAAGUAACGUUAUUAGCUCCAAAUGGCAAUGGUAACGUGAGGCUUCUCCAAAAAUCACAAGUUAAAAGAGGGUCAUAUUCAGUAAGGUAACCGUCUUAAACAAAAUUUCAUACGAGAUUUCAUAAGGUAAUAGCAACGGGNNNNNNNNNNNNNNNNNNNNNNNNNACUUACUAUAUUGAGAGAAUUGAGUCAGUAUCAGCAGGUAAGCAUAUCUUCAGAUUAUCUUUGACUCUCAGUUACUUUCAGUUAUUAUAUUAUCAGUUCAAUUUUAGCUUUCAGUAUAUUGCCUUAUAUACUCGGUACAUUAUUUGUACUGACGUCCCAUUUACCUGGGAAUUCUGCGUUUUAUGCCCGCAGGUCUCGAUAGACAGGUCGAGAAUCCUCCAAGUAGGCAAUCAGCUCAGCGAAAGAUGUUGGUACACUCCAUUUGCUCCGGAGUUGCUUGUUUUGUCAGUAUGAUUUAGAUGUGUAUUGUUUGGUAUGGCGGGGCUCUGUCCCUACCUUUAUGACAAUUAUAUAUUCUUAGGGGCUUGUAGACAGAUGCCAUGUACGUAAACGAUUGUAUGGCCUUGUCGGCCUAUGUUCAGUAUACGAGUGGUUAUUUUGGCUUUAUAGGCCCAUAUGUCUUAUGUAUAAGUUGGUGUCAUAUGUUGUAUUCUACCUAGCUCACGGCAGCCUCUCCGGCUCAGUUAUCUAUGAUAGUAUGAUACGAAAAGAUAUUUUAUAUUGGUACUCGGUUGAGUAAGGUAUCGGGUGCCCGUCGCGGCCCAUCGGUUUGGGUCGUGACAAAAGCAGUAUCAGAGCAGUUUUGUCCUAGGGAGCCUACAAGCCGUGUCUAGUAGAGUCUUGUUUAUGGGUGUGUCGUGCACCACACUUAUAAGCAGGAGGCUACAGGGCAUUUAGGACUAUCACUCUUUUUUCUUACUCUAGAUCGUGUGGUAGAGCUCAUUUAUAAGAAUUCAAACUCCUAGCUUUUAUUUUAUCCGUAAUAUGAUGAUACCUCUUUUUGGUAAGAGAUUGAGUGCGGAUAUGGAAGAGUUGAGUCAGAGGAACUCGAUUUUUCAUGAUGCUUAUGAUGAGGAAAUGUAAGGUAUUCAGUAGAUCAUAUGUGUACUAAGAUGUGUAAGCCUCUUGAUAAGGAGCCUUAAGGCAAGGAUAUCUAUCCACCCCUAUGGUGAAAGGCAAUCAGAGAUUCAGAAGAUAGUACAAGUCUCAACAAGUAAAAGAAGCAAGGUGAAGAAGGGUACGAGGCGCCCAGUUAAUGAAGACUAUCAUUAUUUACCAUUCAGGAUGGGAGAAAUAAGCAUUUUGAGUUACCUUCAACGGUAGCAGGGGUAUGUACAAACGGCCACACUCAUCUCAUUUAUGUCAUAUGGAAGUUAACAAAAGUAGUAUAACAGAAGGAUGGAUAUCGGGAUCUAGCUGGGGUUAGAGUGACCCAAAAUAGGGAAUGAAAUGUUUGCGUUAGUUGACAUUUCCGAAGGAUAGUGCAAAUAUGCUAAUAGAUAUCCUUGUGAGGCACCCAGAUAGUGCACUCUACAAUAGUACGGUUAUGUAUGAGUAUUACAAAGACAGGCACUGGAAGCCUUGAAAGGGAUAAAUAUUAUCUUAGUAUGGCUCCCGUCCCUAGUAGAGAGAGAAUGUUAAAUGUUACAUAGUCUAUAAUCGAGGGAAGGAAAAGAUGAGAGGUGCCAAGCCUGGAGAUAACCAAAGAAUAUAGGACAUAAGGUUGUAUCCUCAUUUCGAGAAAUAAGUUCGUGACUCCAACGCGGUUGUCAGGAGGAAAAGUUGUGAAUACCUAAUUUUUGUAUUAUUUUAGCACCUCCUAAAGUCAUUAGUGUUUUGUUGCUUUAAUUAUAUUUCUCAAUUUUUGUGUCUUUGAUUGUAUAUUUCCAAUCAUAAAAAUACCAAAAAAUAGUUCUUUAUUUAUUUGUGCAUUUUAGGAAUUAACUAACUAUUCAAUUGGUGAAUUUAUCUAGUUAAUUGAUCAUUUGAAUAAGUUACUUAAUUAAUUUAUUUGUUUGUGUAAAUUUAGUUUAAUAAGUAGGAUUAAGAAAGAAAUUGGGCCAAAUUUGAAAGAGAAAGUGGCCAAAAGUGCAAGAUAAGAGGCUGCCUUUGAAAGGGUCCGGAACGACGUAGUUUUGUCUCAAAACUACGUCGUUUCAUUAAGUGACCCAAGAUCAAAUCUCACCCAUUGAUCACCCAUUGAUCUAAUGGUCCAUAUUUGAUCUCUCAAGAGGUAUUUAAAGCCUCAAAAAUCUGAAACAUUCCCUCAUUUCACCCAUGACUCUUUCUCUCUUCUCUCUCUCUUCUCUCUCUUCUCUCCACCGCCGUCGCCGCCGCCAGAAAUCACCCACCGGCGGCGGACCACCUCCAAACACCUCCAAAUUAACACCAUAUAAUCUCCACAACCUCCUCUUCCCAUAUCUCCAAACCAAUUCCUUCAAAAAACCCUCAAACUCCUUGAAUUUUAGAUCUAAGAAACUUUAGCCGCCACUUUUUUGCCCAAAAUCUUGAAGUUCCGGCCACUACUACCCCCACAAUACCUACAUCAACGGAUAGAACUCAUCAAGACCUACCUAUUGAUGUCAAUUUCAUCCCGAAAAUCCGGCAACUAAAAAUCCGGCCAAAUUCCGACGACCACCCCGAACACCCUCAAUUAGUAUACCCCUAUUCUCAUUUCCUUUGUCUAUUUUUUUCUAAUUGUAUUGUAUUUAGUUUAUGUCUAGCAUAAUUUCUGAUUUUUUUUUUU
rnacentral:lncRNA from 1 species